GACGAACGCUGGCGGCGUGCUUAACACAUGCAAGUCGAACGAUGAAGCCGGAGCUUGCUCUGGUGAAUUUGUGGCGAACGGGUGAGUAACACGUGAGUAACCUGCCCUUGACUCUGGGAUAACUGCGGGAAACUGUAGCUAAUACCGGAUACGACCCUCGGAGGCAUCUCCUGGGGGUGGAAAGAAUUUCGGUCAAGGAUGGACUCGCGGCCUAUCAGCUAGUUGGUGAGGUAAAGGCUCACCAAGGCGACGACGGAUAGCCGGCCUGAGAGGGUGACCGGCCGCACUGGGACUGAGAUACGGCCCAGACUCCUACGGGAGGCAGCAGUGGGGAAUAUUGCACAAUGGGCGCAAGCCUGAUGCAGCGACGCCGCGUGAGGGAUGACGGCCUUCGGGUUGUAAACCUCUUUCAGCACAGACGAAGCGCAAGUGACGGUAUGUGCAGAAGAAGGACCGGCCAACUACGUGCCAGCCGCCGCCGUAA
rnacentral:rRNA from 1 species